GUGAAUCAUCAAAUUUUUGAACGCAUAUUGCACUCUCUGGGAUUCCGGAGAGUAGGCCUAUUUUUUGGUAAUUUGAAAUAAUAUAAAUUUCGAGAUUUUCUUGGAAUCAAAGAUGGGACGGUCAAGCUUUCGUGUGGUGGUCUCCUAAAAUGCAAGACAAGCUCAUUUAUUGGGGUGCGUG
rnacentral:misc_RNA from 1 species